rnacentral:misc_RNA from 1 species
AGAUAUGAAAUUGAGGAAUGCACAUCUUCACAACCAUCGAUGCAAUACGUCAUGAAAAUGACGUAUGAAGGAUGUAGCGGGUCUCCGCCGGGGGCUUGCAAUGAUCGUCAUGUAUAGUCGUGUAUUAUGUG